GGAGCAGGCCCGAUGGUCGCCGUCCGGGUCCCGCAAGGGAGGACGGGCGGAGGAAAGUCCGGACUUCACAGGGCAGGAUGCCCUACGGGGGCACCGCGAGGUGACGGAAAGUGCCACAGAAAACAUACCGCCCCGCGCCUAAUUUUUUCUGAUUGCGUGCAGUUUUGGCAAUCAGUCCCUGGGCCUUCAGAAAAAAUUAGGUGCGGGGUAAGGGUGAAAUGGUGCGGCCUGGGAUCAACCGGGCUUAAUGUAAGAGCGCACCGCGCGGCGGGCGACCGUCGCGGCAGGGCAAACCCCAUCCGAAGCAAGGCCAAGCAGGUUCCAGGGGUGGCCCGCCCGUUGUCCGGGAUUCCGGUCCCGGGCCACAGGAACCGGGUAGGCCGCGCAGAUCAAUGACCAUCCCCCGCACUUGGUGCGGGGACAGAAUCCGGCUUAAGACCUGCUCCGGCC
rnacentral:RNase_P_RNA from 1 species